rnacentral:rRNA from 1 species
AACGAACGCUGGCGGCAGGCCUAACACAUGCAAGUCGAACGGGAUCUUCGGGUCUAGUGGCGGACGGGUGAGUAACACGUGGGAACGUGCCCUUGGUUCGGAAUAGCCCCGGGAAACUGGGAGGAAUACCGGAUAAGCCCUACGGGGGGAAGAUUUAUCGGCAAAGGAUGGGGCCGCGGUGGAUUAGGGAGUUGGGGAGGUAAUGGCUCACCAAGCCGACGAUCCAUAGCUGGUUUGAGAGGAUGAUCAGCCACACUGGGACUGAGACACGGCCCAGACUCCUACGGGAGGCAGCAGUGGGGAAUCUUAGACAAUGGGGGAAACCCUGAUCUAGCCAUGCCGCGUGAUCGAUGAAGGCCUUAGGGUUGUAAAGAUCUUUCAGUGGGGAAGAUAAUGACUGUACCCACAGAAGAAGCCCCGGCUAACUCCGUGCCAGCAGCCGCAGUAA